CCCUGGGCUGAGCUUCGAUACUGGAUCCAUGUGUUUUUAUCUAAAUACUGGCCCUACCUGAAGCUUGAAUUGAACAUUAGGUGGAAAAUUCUUUGUCCCUGGGAGGGAAAAGUACACAAAUUCAAAAUGUGGAUUUCUGAGGCCUGCUAGGUUCAGAAAAAUCCUAUGCAUACUAUUUGGGGACUGCCGGAGGUCUGAGAGAAGGAGAGGGAAGCCCACGGCCUUGUUACCAACAGGAAACAGCAAUGAAGAGCCUCCCAGUACGUGGAUGAUGGCUCUGGACAGACCAAGCUGGUCCCUCUACAUCGAUGCUGUCAGCCAUUUUAUUUGUAAAGACAACCUCUUGUCCUUGCAGAUAAGAAAACAAAGGAUGGGGCACAAUACAGAAGACAGAGUAAAGGAGUCAGAAUCCCGGCUCUGGCACCAGCAUGAUCUUAGGUGAAGAGUAGAACCUUCAUCCUUGUGAGCUCAAAAUGUCAAGAGAAUUCUUUGACGUCAUGACUUUCCAGAGUCCUGAUCUGCAGCUAGAAUAGCAUCAGUGCCCCAGAGAGUUUAUAGUGACCCUUGGGAAUGACCUUCAGACCCCAGUCCAGAGCAGCUGAGAGAAGGACUCGUCCAGGAGUUAUAGUUCAUCAGGACAGAAACUUGGUGAGACUAAUGCUAUGUAGGAACUCUACUAAAAGUGAACCGGCUCUUCCUAGACAAGGAGGUGUUGGAGGAGAGAGUAUGCAACAGAGGUUUUCUUUGGGGGGAGGUGAUGUUUGUUCUUGAUACUUCUUGCAUAUGGGAAGGAAGUACCCAUUUGUAAAGCUAAUUAAUAUUCAGUGGGACUGGAGUCAUUGGCUUCUGUGAGGAGGAGCUCAAACUGAUAGCACUAGAUAAAAGAUUCCUGCAGCUCAUCAGGGCCCCCUUGAACCCUGAGGGAGCAGAUGUAGCAUUCUGGUUCAGAGAGAGAGCCAGAAGGCACCAGGGACACAUACGUUUGGCUAUCAUGUCGUACUGUUGACUCAUUGAGUUUGCAAUCCACUAAAGCCCUUAGAUAUUUUUCAUCAUGCAAACUUUCACCCAGCCGUG